AUGGGCACCGGGGCGCGGGCGCGGGUGACGGCGGCGGCGCUCGCGAGGGCGGACACCGGCGACGACAUCAUCCUCAGCUACUCGAACGACUUCAUGCUCGUACGCCCCUCCCCUCCCCCUCCUCCUCCUCCUUCUCCUCAUCCUCCCCGCCUUUCCCGAGCGAGUGGAGCGGCCGGCCCGGUUCCUGCUUUCGAGCCCAUGGCCGGGUGGCCGGCGGAGCUCUGUUCCGGUCGGGCGCGCGCCCGAGAGACUCCCGAUUCUGAACCUGUGGCCGGGUGUCAGGCGGAGCUCCGUUCUGGCCAGGCGCGCGACGCCGGAGCCUCCCAAUUUCGAGCCUGUGUCCGGGUGGCCGGUGGAGCUCCGUUCUGGCCGUUCCUCACCCCAACGCUGCAGUCCACCCGACGCCACCGACCGUUCAUCAGCUUAAAAGCCCAAAUUUGA
rnacentral:rRNA from 1 species